UACGAAGGGGGCUAGCGUUGCUCGGAUUUACUGGGCGUAAAGGGCGCGUAGGCGGACAGUUAAGUCGGGGGUGAAAGCCCGGGGCUCAACCUCGGAAUUGCCUUCGAUACUGGCUGUCUUGAGUGUGAGAGAGGUGUGUGGAACUCCGAGUGUAGAGGUGAAAUGCGUAGAUAUCGGAAGGAACACCUGUGGCGAAAGCGGCUCACUGGACCAUUACUGACGCUGAUGCACGAAAGCUAGGGGAGCAAACAGG
rnacentral:rRNA from 1 species